rnacentral:lncRNA from 1 species
AAUGUACAAUGUGUGAGCAAAACCAUUAAGAGAUUUAACACAGUGUUUAUACUUACAUUCAGUAAGUAUAAAUUCUCAGCUGUAAAAGAUACUGUGUGCAAAUUUUGGGACUAACUGAUUAGUAGUUACCUAACAGAAGCUAUACCUUUAACAGUUUAUGUAUGGUUUAAGCUUCUGAGAGAAGUUUGGAUAGUGGGAUAGACUUAACAUUUUUAUCUCAUCCCCUCUUUAGGAUCCUAAAUUCGAAUAGUAGAAUUGUGGAACUGGUUUUUAGGAGAGGUAUCUUGGAUAUCCAGUUUCUGUGGUUGAUCCCUCACUUGCUCAUCCAAUGACAGCAAGAAGCUUUCUGAUUUUAAAGUUUUCAGUUGACUAGAACUUUCUUAUUGGAUUCUGCCUCAGUUUUCCUUAUAAGCACUGCAGAAACAAAAGGGAAGCCUAGGAAUGUGAAACUAGUGAGAAAGGAAAGGCACAUAGUGAUAUGUGACGUAAAUACUCUUUCAGCCAUGGUGGGUGUAACAGUACAUUUUUUAAAUUGCGUUGUGCCUUCCCAUUGAUGUCAAACCCUGGAAGUAUUACAGAGAUAGUAGUAUUUUAGAAAAGGAUGAGCUCUGUUUUGGUCUGCAGUGACUCACUUUAGAUAUGAAAAUAGGUUCUGAAAAGUGACCUCUUUGGUCUAUCUGAUUAGACUAGUCCAUGUCGAUGUGAUGAACAUUUAUUUAUCUUUAUCAGCAAGGUUUAAAAGAUGAAUGGAUUAUCAAGACUCCUACAUCUUUUGGUCAGACUCUGUAUUUUGGUAGAGUAUGUGAAGAGGAGACCCAGUUUCUAAAUGAAGGAACUUUGCCUUUUCUCUGUGAUGUUGAAAAAGCUGAUAAGUAAAAUAUCACUAAGUAAGUGAUAUUCCUUCCCUCAACUAUGCCUUUCUUGGCUUCAUAUAUGUUGAAAGAGAUAAUAUCUUUUGAGGAACAUGUGUCAAGCAGGAACCUUGACAUGGAUUUGGUUUCAGUUGUUUUAAGGCUUACUUAAUGAAAUGCCUUUAUCAGCUUUCCAAACUGUUUUUUUAUAUAUUGAUACAACAGAUUGGGGAGCUGGAUCUCCUGCUAUACUCACAUGCCUGCUACUCAUCAGCUAAAGCUGUCAUUACUGUCUUGGAAAAGUGGCAAAAGAUAACAUAAAAUCUCUGUGUAAAUUAGUCAGUAGGGUCUGAUACAGGCUAACAAGGUUCCUGACUAGCACCUCAGUAUUUCAGCACCUUAUACACAAAAAAUUUCAAUCAGUCAACAAUAAAGUGAGUGUUUCAACUAG